CCUCUUUCGACCCCCCCGCGACACCCUCUUCGAUAGAGCUCCUAGCCGAACGCUCCGCCCCCUCUCUGCUGCCGGACGCUCGAUCUCCUCUGCCUCCCGAUCUACCUCCCUCACAACCUGACGCUUCUCUACCUCCGUUCCUCCGUUUCGAGCAUCCCUCUCUGCUGCUAAGUACGCGGACGAAGGCCCUACGAAGCGAGGAGAACUCUUGGACGCUUGUAGCCUCAAAGUACGCCAUCGUUCACCAAUCCCUGCCAGCUUCUCGUUGUUGAAAAUAAUUAACGCAUGUUCAUAGUCAUGCCGUUGUUCAUGCAAAAAUUUGACACUGCUGAUUGAAAAAACGGAGGCGAAAGCGAAAUAACAUAUGCGACAGAUGUCUUAUAAAUCCUGAGAUAUCUAAUGUAUACUGCAAUGCAAGGAUUAGAAGUUGCUUAUAAGAAGAUGGCAAUUGCUGGCGGCAUCACACCUCGUUCAGGUUUUGGUCCACUUUUGUUCAAGCCUUCCACUGUGUCAAUUCCAAUUUACCAGCUGUGGAAUACCAAUUCAUUUAACAUUGGACAAACUAUGAUAAAAUCAGUUUUGGGUUCUAAGCUCAUAUGUGCAUCAUUAAGAAGUAAUGACCAUCCUAGAUUAUCUUAUGGAGGUGAUUUUGACAAUGAACCAUUUUGGAAGACUAUGGUGAAGGAUAUUGCAUGGAGUUUGACAUCUGUAGCAGUAUUCUUAGCUGAACAGCCUAGUCAGAUAAAGUACAUAGAGUGGCCAACAUUUCAAAGCACGCUGAGGACAGCUAUGCUUACCCUUGUUCUUGUGGCUGUGCUCAUUGUUGCUCUAUCUUCUGUUGACUCGUGUCUCUCUUAUAUUUUGGCCUUGCUGCUCAGAAGAGCUGCCUAGUGACAGGUAUAGCAUCUUAUGUUAUGUCAAGCAUUAAACGAUACUAAGAAGAAUUCCAUCCAAACUGAAGUGGAUAGAGAAGAUGUAUAUGAAAAGGAAUCUUCAAAACCUCGAACUUACCUAAGAACGUUCUCUAAUUCCAAGUGGCAUCAAAAGGGUCAUGGAUCAGAUCAGAUCAAGCCACAUUUGGGCUCAAAUCAAGGGCUAAUCAAGUCGAUCAAGCCUUGGAGUGUUUUGGACUGUCCAUUGAAGAUUAAGCAGAUCUAGGCCAUCCGUUGAAGAUCUAGGCCAUCCGUUGAAGAUAUGGCCCAUCCAACCUAAUGAGGAGCAGAUCUGGACCAUAGAUGAAGAUCAGUACUAUUGGAUCGGAUUUAGACUGUUUUCCACCGUUGAUCAAGCUCCGAGAAAUCUCAGUCGUCCGAUCAGAGAAGGGAGGAUUUAAAACCCGCGUGAGAAGCUACAGUGCUCGGGCUCGGCUUCCUCGCGAUUUCUUCACUAUUCACGUUCUUCUCCGCCGCGACGCCGAUGCUCCCGUUCCUCAAAACCAGAUCCGAGAGCUAACUUCUUCAACGACGACAAUCUCCAGCUGCCGGCGUUCAUCUUCCGAUGAUUAGAGAGUGCUGGAGGGAGGUUUCUCGACCCGUCUUGGUUCUAUUCAUCGCCGCGAUCCUGUGCAAGGGAGGUUUCUUGUUCAGUGAUUUUCACAUCCAACUGAGCUCAGAGGGAGGUUUCUUUGAGUCUUAGAUCUCAUUCCGACUUCCAUUCCAUAUCAUAACUUGGAUGAAUUGGCCAUUUGAUCCGGUUUGCAAAAUUCACAGAGUCAAGCUCUGUUUUCUUCGGCUGGUGAGAUUAUCAGAAGGAUGGGAGUUAGAGGGGAGGUUUCCAAAGACUAUGAGCACCUACUGGUAAUAGUUGGAGGUUAGAGAUUAGUUGUUGAAAGCUUGAGGGGAGGUUUCCGAUGACAUUUUUGUUGUACAACAGAUUGAUGAGAUUUGUUCCGGAUUUGGAUUGAAGAAUGCUAGAGUUUCUGUUUUCUUUUGAAUGUUAAUGAAUUUGUAGAGCUGUCAAACGGGCCAACCCAUGGCGAGGCGGGUCGGCUCGUGGCGGGCCCACCAUUUGGCGGGCCGGGGCGGGGCGGGUUGUCAACUUGGCGGGUUAGGAAAUUUUUAACCCAACCCAAUCCAAGGCGGGUCGCGGGUUUGGCGGGCCAACCCGCGGGCCUAUCAAUUUUUUUAAAAAAAAUUUAAAAAUAAGAGUUCAUAUCUUCAAUGUUUUACUUCGGAAAUAUUUUAUCAAUCAAAUGUAUUCAUAAACAAGUAUUUUAAAUAUAAAUGGACAUAAACAAGUACUUAUGUUGGGUCAAAAGUACUAUUUUUAUUUUAAAAUUAUAACAAAGAAAGAUAAUAAACUGCCAUAAAAUUGUGCAACGAAAAGGAAUAGUAAUUAUGACUCCUGGUUGUGCGUCGAGCAGUUUAGGUCAGUGAUACCCUAGCUGUAUCUAUGUAAACGAAUCAAAUAAGCAGGUCAUUUACUUUUAAGAAGGCCAUCUAGUUUGGGUACACACACCAAACUCUUCAUUGUGCAUAAUGUAUGUUUCAGAUUUAUCCCAUAAACGAAUCAAAUAAGAAGGUCAUCUACUUUUAAGAUUAAUCGACUUUGUGUGCAUAUAUAUUUCUGUAACUUUUGUCUAUCACACUCAACUUCACAAAUAUGGGCUUUUCCUAAUUAAUAUUCCUCUCAACGAAGAAGAUAAUGAAAUGCUAUAAUUUAACCCCUGGUACUCUCAUAGUUGCAGCAUUGACUACUGAUAUAAACUGCUUACAUGUGAUUCUCAACCCGCAGGCCAACCCAAGCCCAUCGCGGGCCGACCCGCGCGGGUCGCGGGCCUAGGCGGGUCGGCCCACGGCGGACUUGGGUUGAUAAAAUUCCAACCCAACCCGCUUAAUUGGUUUGGCGGGACGGGCCAACCCGACGGGCCUAAUCCAAAUUUACGGCUCUAUGAAUUUGCCAUGUCGUUGAUCAGAUCUGAAGAUCUGAUCUCUUGUCUUUACCAUUCUAUUCUUGCUUGAAUUUCUGCAAUUCUGUUUGUGAUUUCUUUCUUACAACCCUGACCUUAGAUCUAGUUUCUGUUGAAUUCUGCUACUGAUACUGAUAGUUGUAGGUUUUUGUGAUUUAGUUAGUAAUUUUUUGCUCUGAUUUUGGUUUUUGUACUUGUGAUCUUGCUUAAAUGAAGAUUGAUCAACUUUAGUUUUGAUUGUUACCUCUGUUUAAUAUGAUUUUGUUUGAACCUAUGAGUUUAAUUGUUGAGUAAAUUUGUGUUGUGAAUUGAAGAGUUGAUGAAUGAUUUUUUUGAUUCAAUGGUGCAUUUAAAUCCGAGUUUAAUUGAAACUAACUUAGUGAGAAAGAAAUUAGAUCAUGCUUAGACCUUAUUGAUGUUAUAGCUUUACUUGAAUCAAUUCUAGAGUAUUCACAUAUUAAUUAGUUGCCCUUGGAAAAAAAUACGACUUGGGACUCCUUACUACACGUGUUAUUUUAGUUAAUGUGAGUUUCAAUUUUAAUUAAUUUUGAGCGCCUCGUGACAUGCAAAAUGGCCGACACCAAAUUUUGGCGUCGUUGCCGGGGAAAUAACUAGUAGUAUGUGUUUAUUUUAGAUUGUGCAUUGAUUGGUUUAUUUUGUUAACAUGUUGAUUGGUUUGAUUACUUAUUUAUUUUUAUAUCAUGUUGAUUUGUUCUUGAAUUUUUAAGUGCUUUUACUGUUUAUGUUUUCGUGUGUAUGAAACUUUAUGCUCUUGAAUCUUCUAAUUUUGAGUUCUAGUGUUGUAGUGAAGGACAAGAGAUUUCUUUAGCAUGGAUCCAUAUUUUCAGAAUUUUAAAGGUGGAAUGGAGAGUUAUCAUUU